CAAACAUACCUAAACCUACACACGUAGGUAUUUCUUAAGUUACGCGAAUUUUGUCAGCUAAGAAAAAUGAAGUGUGUUAAUAUAGUUACGAAUUUUAUCAUUUUGCUAACAAGUUUUGCUGCACAUGCCAAAGAAGAAGCAUUACUCACUCAUCUGCCAAGAAACAACAUAGAACACGUCAACACUGGCGAUUGGGCAGUUGCCUGUCCUGCAGAAACAACGCAAGAAAGCGAUUUCGUUCAGAAAUAUUCAUUGUCGAAAAAUGCCCUAUUUGUGAAAAAAACGUACCCGGCGAAUACCGAUCUAUCGGCAAUUGAAACUAAUGUUUGUGAGAACCCUCAUAAGAUUUCUUUGGCGUAUAAAAUCGAAAAUUUGACUUUUCAAUUUGGUUACGAGAUUUAUUAUAACUCGAAACAAAAGCUCCAUUUCAAACAUUGUACAACAAAAAAUUACAAAGACUAUAAAUCAGCGAAGGAUGCAAUUGACUCCACAAAGACAACAUUCAACAGAGGAAUAUUUCAUGCCAUACAGUAUGUUUUCAGUUUUUCACGAACUUUAACAAACGCGAUUGGAAUAAGCAGCGACAAGUUGUUCCUCAAUGAAGA